GGAUGCCCGGCUCUCCUGUGGAGUUUCAGAGGAGCUGCAGCGCCUCCCUGGGAGCAUCUCCGGCUCCAGCCCCUGAUCAGGAUCCACCCUGCGGUUUUCAUCCCCGUUCCUUCCACUGCUCUGAUUUGUCUCUUGGAGUCUUGGUCCUCGGAAAGCUUUUGCCGAUCCCGCGGUGACACCGGCAGAGGCCACCUUUCCUCCCCGUGUCACAUCUGCAGUGACAGCCGGGGAAGCGAUGGGGAGAGGAGGUGAACUCCGCGGAACUGGGGAAAGUGAGGCACGAGUGGGGGCUGUUCCUGUGGCACUUUGGGAGGGAGCUCCGCCGUGUCCUUGGAUCCCAGAGCUCAGGGGAUGCACCUGGAGGGGCCAGGAUCCAGCUCAAAGGUGGGUCUGUGUCAGCAGGAGCUCCCUCCUGCCAGGGGAGAUGUGUGUCAGUGUCCUCACAAAGAAUUCCGUGAGGGACAGGAUGGGGGAAUGACUUUGGGAUGGGGCUGGAUGUCUGUCCCUACUGCAAACAGCGGGUUUGGGGCAGAGCCUGAGACUGCAAAUGGGAAUUCCUGAACUUUGGGGUUAAAUUUAAUCCAGGUUUGGGGCAGAGCCUGAGACUGCAAAUGGGAAUUCCUGAACUUUGGGGUUAAAUUUAAUCCAGGUUUGGGACAGAACCCUGAGACUGCAAAUGGGAAUUCCUGAACUUUGGAGGUAAUUCAAUCCAGGUUUGGGACAGAACCUGGACAGACCCUGAGAUAUGAAAUGGAAAUUCCUGAACUUUGGGGGUAAUUCAAUCCAGGUUUGGGACAGAACCCUGAUACUGCAAAUGGGAAUUCCUGAACUUUGGGUUUAAUUUCAAAUUCUGGAACUUUGGGGUUAAUUUCAAUCCAGGUUUGGGGCAGAACCUGGACAGAUCCUGAGACAUGAAAUGAGAAUUUCUGAACUUUGGGGUUAAUUUCAGUACAGAUUUGGGACAGAAGCUGGACAGACCCUGAGACUGGGAAUUCUGAGACCCCGAGCAAAUGGGAGUUCUGGAACUUUGAGGGUAAUUUCAAUCCAGGUUUGGGACAGAACCUGGACAGAUCCUGAGGCAGCAAAUGGGAAUUCCAGAGCAUUGGGGUUAAUUUCAAAUUCUGGAACUUUGGGGUUAAAUUCAAUCCAGGUUUGGGACAGAACCCAGACAGAUCCUGAGACUGGGAAUUCUGAGACCCCAAGCAAAUGGGAAUUCUGGAACUUUGGGGUUAAUUUAAAAUUCUGGAACUUUGGGGUUAAUUUAAAAUUCUGGAACUUUGGGGUUAAUUUCAAUCCAGGUUUGGCACAGAGACAGACGGGGGUCUGCACAAGCUGGAGUUUCCAAGUUUUGGGGUAAAAUGGCAGGUUUAAGGGGAGCAGGUGCUUCGGGCAGGCUGUGCCUUCCUGGUCCCUCAGUGUUGGGAAGGGAAAAGGACAGAGUUUGGGAAUAAAAGGAAUUUGGGAUUAAUUGGAAUUUGGGAU
rnacentral:lncRNA from 1 species